rnacentral:misc_RNA from 1 species
GGUUAAUCUUGUUGAGAUUUUGCUAGCAGUACCAUAAAUUUGCCAAAUCAGUAGAAUGAUUCAUCUUUCCUCGUGAGGGUGUUAUCUUGGCUAUUUCUCACAGCAUCAGAAAUCAAUGGUCUAUUAAAAGAUUUGCCCCAAGCAAACAUUACACAGACUAGACACAAGCAUGCAUUACAUACCCUUAAAGCCAAAAUAAAUAAAAGUUCUGCUCAGAAGAGGCAUAUCCAAUCAUAGACAAGUUUCAUAUGUCCGGAC